CCUACGGGAUGCAGCAGUGAGGAAUAUUGGUCAAUGGGCGCGAGCCUGAACCAGCCAAGUAGCGUGAAGGAUGACUGCCCUAUGGGUUUUAAACUUCUUUUAUAAGGGAAUAAAGUGCCCCACGUGUGGGGUUUUGUAUGUACCUUAUGAAUAAGGAUCGGCUAACUCCGUGCCAGCAGCCGCGGUAAUACGGAGGAUCCGAGCGUUAUCCGGAUUUAUUGGGUUUAAAGGGAGCGUAGAUGGGUUGUUAAGUCAGUUGUGAAAGUUUGCGGCUCAACCGUAAAAUUGCAGUUGAAACUGGAAGUCUUGAGUACAGUUGAGGUAGGUGGAAUUCGUGGUGUAGCGGUGAAAUGCUUAGAUAUCACGAAGAACUCCGAUUGCGAAGGCAGCUUACUAGACUGAGACUGACACUGAGGCUCGAAAGUGUGGGUAUCAAACAGGAUUAGAUACCCUUGUAGUC
rnacentral:rRNA from 1 species